rnacentral:rRNA from 1 species
CUUCCUACGGGAGGCAGCAGUGGGGAAUUUUCCGCAAUGGGCGCAAGCCUGACGGAGCAAGACCGCGUGAGGGAAGAAGGUCCGUGGAUUGUAAACCUCUUUUGAUAGGGAAGAACACAGUGACGGUACCUGUCGAAUCAGCCUCGGCUAACUCCGUGCCAGCAGCCGCGGUAAUACGGAGGAUGCAAGCGUUAUCCGGAAUUAUUGGGCGUAAAGAGUCCGUAGGUGGGUAACCAAGUCAGCUGUUAAAUAGUGAAGCUUAACUUCAUAGAGGCGGCGGAAACUGGUUGUCUAGAGUGUGGUAGGGGUAGAGGGAAUUUCCAGUGUAGCGGUGAAAUGCGUAGAUAUUGGAAAGAACACCGGUGGCGAAAGCGCUCUACUGGACCUGCACUGACACUGAGGGACGAAAGCUAGGGGAGCGAAAGGGAUUAGAUACCCCAGUAGUCA